GAUUAUAGUGAAAUUCCCAAGGGGUCUUGGGGAGUGGAUGUAGGUGCUGGGGUGCACCGAACCACUAUAUGUUUGUUGUGUUUGUGAUGCUUUUUGUCAUUGUCUAACUUGCUCACCUACUUACUUACAUAAAUUGCUUGCUUAACUCUUAUCCGUGCAUCCUUUAGUUGCAAGCUUAUUCAAUUUACUUAAUCAAGUCUCAUUCAAUAAAUCAAACUGUUGCUAAGUUUAAAUUCCACUGUGCAUCUAUACAACUUAGCAUAAUUAAUUGAAAAGUUUUAAAAGUAGUACAAAAGUUUUAAAAGACCCAAUUCACCCCCCCCCUCUUGGGUUGUAUCUACUGGGCAACAAGUGGUAUCAGAGCAGGUGCUCUAAGACUAAUUAUUGAUCUCACGAUCAAGAGCCAAAGAUCAUGACAACUCAAAUAGAUAGUUUUCUAGGAGAAGGACAAUUAAUUGAUACACCUCCACUAUUUAAUGGCAUAAACUAUACACAUUGGAAAGCACGCAUGCGCAUUUUCAUACAAUCACUUGAUUAUAAUUUAUGGAGAAUUAUAGUCAAUGGAACACACACAAACACUAGUCAUAAUGAGAAAAUGGU
rnacentral:lncRNA from 1 species